rnacentral:rRNA from 1 species
AGCAGCCGCGGUAAUUCCAGCUCCAAUAGCGUAUAUUAAAGUUGUUGCAGUUAAAAAGCUCGUAGUUGAAUUUCGGGAUCAAUAUGUCGGUCGUGCCUUCGGUACGUACUGGUAUCAUUGGUCUCUCCUUUCUGACGAACCAUGAUGUCAUUAAUUUGGUGUUAUGGGGAGUUAGGACUGUUACUUUGAAAAAAUUAGAGUGUUUAAAGCAGGCUUUAGCUUGAAUACAUUAGCAUGGAAUAAUGAAAUAGGACGUUCGAACCUAUUUUGUUGGUUUCUAGGAUCAACGUAAUGAUUAAUAGGGAUAGUUGGGGGCAUUAGUAUUCAAUUGUCAGAGGUGAAAUUCUUGGAUUUAUUGAAGACUAACUACUGCGAAAGCAUUUGCCAAGGAUGUUUUCAUUAAUCAAGAACGAAAGUUAGGGGAUCGAAGACGAUCAGAUACCGUCGUAGUCUUAACCAUAAACUAUGCCGACUAGGGAUCGGAUGAUGUUUAAUUUUUUAAUGACUCAUUCGGCGCCUU